rnacentral:rRNA from 4 species
GAGGAGCCCAGAGCCUGAAUCAGCAUGUGUGUUAGUGGAAGCGUCUGGAAAGGCGCGCGAUACAGGGUGACAGCCCCGUACACAAAAGCGCAUGUGCUGUGAGCUCGAUGAGUAGGGCGGGACACGUGGUAUCCUGUCUGAAUAUGGGGGGACCAUCCUCCAAGGCUAAAUACUCCUGACUGACCGAUAGUGAACCAGUACCGUGAGGGAAAGGCGAAAAGAACCCCGGCGAGGGGAGUGAAAAAGAACCUGAAACCGU